rnacentral:lncRNA from 1 species
GUGAGUUCCAGGACAGCCAGGGUUAUACUGAGAAACCCUGUCUUGAAAAACCAAAAAAAAAAAAAAAAAAAAAAGGAGUCCAGCUAAUCCUUCAGACGGGAGGGUAGACAUGGAGCUAGGUUGACUACGAUCAUCUUUUACUGUUGGGCACUGGAGAGAGAUGCUAUAGCACCGGUUUCAGGUGUUCGUGUUAAUGUUCUGGGAGAGUGGAGAAGUGUAAACGGCCUACCUGAGAUUCAGAGUGCUGUCAGAAAGCAGUGCUUGAGCUGGAGUCACUCCUAAUCCACUUUGUAACUUAAGCUGACUCGGAUUCCUCCAACUGUAAGUGCUUGAGCCAACCAUUCAUAUUCUGAGACCUUUAAGUUACUUGCUGUUCUAAUCAUGGGUUGUAAGGGGAUUGUUUUUGCUUUUUGGUUUUUUUUUUUCUCGUGACAGGGUUUCUCUGUGUAGCCCUGGCUGUCCUGGUCUACAAUGUGAGUUCCAGGACAGCCAGGGCUACACAGAGAAACCCUGUCUUG